GGGUGAUUUCACUCAAUCCAAGGUAAUCACAAAACCCUCUUCGCCCCUCUGUCCCCCAUUUGUGUGUGUAUGUAUGUGUGUGUGUGGUUGAGUUAAAAAAGAGAGAAUUAUGAGGGUGAUUUCACAGAGGAUUUUGCUUUUUAAAGAGACAAACUGAGGAAGAUGAGUAUAUGUAUGAAAAUUGAAGAUUAAUUGACUAUUAAUGGCAAAAACCAUGGAUGGGAGGUGAAAAGAGACAUAUGGGAGGAAGAAAUGACAAAUUUGGUUUUGGCCUUGGGUCCGCGGAGGAAAAGGGCAACAACAUCGUAAACUCAGGCCGCAUCAUUUUGUAGUGUCGAUGAUGUCGAGCUAGACUCU
rnacentral:misc_RNA from 1 species